UACGGAGGGGGCUAGCGUUGUUCGGAAUUACUGGGCGUAAGCGCACGUAGGCGGACUGUUAAGUCGGGGGUGAAAUCCUGGGGCUCAACCUCAGAAUUGCCUCCGAUACUGGCAGUCUCGAGUGCGGGAGAGGUGAGUGGAAUUCCCAGUGUAGAGGUGAAAUUCGUAGAUAUUGGGAAGAACACCAGUGGCGAAGGCGGCUCACUGGCCCGUAACUGACGCUGAGGUGCGAAAGCGUGGGGAGCAAACAGG
rnacentral:rRNA from 1 species